rnacentral:rRNA from 1 species
UACGUAGGUGGCAAGCGUUGUCCGGAUUUAUUGGGUUUAAAGGGUGCGUAGGCGGCUUUGUAAGUCAGAGGUGAAAGCCCGGAGCUUAACUCCGGAACUGCCUUUAAAACUGCAUCGCUAGAAUCGUGGAGAGGUGAGUGGAAUUCCGAGUGUAGAGGUGAAAUUCGUAGAUAUUCGGAAGAACACCAGUGGCGAAGGCGACUCACUGGACACGUAUUGACGCUGAGGUGCGAAAGCGUGGGGAGCAAACAGG